rnacentral:lncRNA from 1 species
UUUACUUUGUGUGUGUAAUAUACAAGGUAUAAAUGAACGAUGUUUCAUAAAUUUAAAGAAUUGUAAAAAGUGAUCUAAUGAAGGUUUUUCGUUAUGGAACUUAUUGUCAGAAAUAUGAAAUGGAAGCUCCAUAACCCUAAUAGGAUUAGAAGUCAUGACACUGCUAAUCAUUGAAAAUAAAAAGAUAGAGUAAUGUAAUCAUGACAAACUUUAUUUCCUUUUAUAUUAGCAACUGUUUGAAAAUGAUGUCCACCAUCUUCAUUACAGUGUGUGCAAUGAUGAACCAUGUUUCAUUUUAAUGCCUAUUUCCAUAGUUACCUCAAUGUUGUGAAAUGCUGCAAAGAUUCAUUCAGGAAACUCAUCCACUGUUUCCACAAGUGCUUUGUAUAUGAUAUUCUUCACAUACCCUCUAUCUUGUUCUAUAUUGCAAGGAUAGGAAAUCAGAAAACUCAAAGCACUGUGGUGCUGCCAUUUUGCAUUUCCAAUCAAUAGUUCCUUAAUGAAAAAUGUUCAUUAUAUCAGUGAUCUCAAACUCAAAUUGUUUGCGGGCUGAAUGUGCAAUUCGAAAGGAAGGGUCAAAUAUUUUUUAAUAAAAUUACAACAAAAGGAAAAUAUUUUACUGAUAGAGUAGCUACUGAUAGCACAAUGCAGAUUGUGUAUAGUAUACUUUAAAGCUUUACAUUUUUAUUUUAUUAACAUUAAAUUGUGAUAAUUUCUCGACUGUAAUGUAU